rnacentral:rRNA from 1 species
GUCCACGCUGUAAACGAUGAACACUAGGUAUUGGAGGAUUUGACCCCUUCAGUGCCGUAGCUAACGCGUUAAGUGUUCCGCCUGGGAAGUACGGUCGCAAGACUAAAACUCAAAGGAAUUGACGGGGGCCCGCACAAGCGGUGGAUUAUGUGGUUUAAUUCGAAGCAACGCGCAGAACCUUACCUAGGCUUGAAAUCCCAUGAAUCCCUUUUAAACGAGGGAGUGCUCUUCGGAGAAUAUGGUGACAGGCGCUGCAUGGCUGUCGU